rnacentral:rRNA from 1 species
UGCGUAGGGGGCAAGCGUUGUCCGGAUUUAUUGGGCGUAAAGAGCGUGUAGGCGGCCAUACAGGUCAGCUGUGAAAACUCGAGGCUCAACCUCGAGACGUCGGUUGAAACCGUAUGGCUAGAGUCCGGAAGAGGAGAGUGGAAUUCCCGGUGUAGCGGUGAAAUGCGCAGAUAUCGGGAAGAACACCCGUGGCGAAGGCGGCUCUCUGGGACGGUACUGACGCCGAGACGCGAAAGCGUGGGGAGCGAACAGG